GACGAACGCUGGCGGCGUGCUUAACACAUGCAAGUCGAACGGAAAGGCCUCUUUCGGGGGGUACUCGAGUGGCGAACGGGUGAGUAACACGUGAGUAACCUGCCCUUGACUUUGGGAUAACUUCAGGAAACUGGGGCUAAUACCGGAUAGGAGCUCCUGCUGCAUGGUGGGGGUUGGAAAGUUUCGGCGGUUGGGGGUGGACUCGCGGCUUAUCAGCUUGUUGGUGGGGUAGUGGGUUACCAAGGCUUUGACGGGUAGACGGCCUGGGAGGGUGACCGGCCACAUUGGGACUGGGAAACGGCCCAGACUCCUACGGGGGGCAGCAGGGGGGAAUAUUGCACAAUGGGUGGAAGCCUGAUGCAGCAACGCCGUGUGCGGGAGGACGGCCUUCGGGUUGGAAACCGCUUUCGCUCAUGACGAAGCUUUGUGUGACGGUAGUGGGUAAAGAAGCACCGGCUAACUACGUG
rnacentral:rRNA from 1 species